rnacentral:tRNA from 1 species
GUGGCUGUAGCUCAGCUGGUUUAGAGCACCUGGUUGUGGUCCAGGGGGUCGUGGGUUCGAAUCCCAUCAGCCACCCCA